GAUGAAGAACGUAGCGAAAUGCGAUAAGUAGUGUGAAUUGCAGAAUUCCGUGAAUCAUCGAGUCUUUGAACGCACAUUGCGCCCCCUGGUAUUCCGGGGGGCAUGCCUGUCCGAGCGUCAUUGCUGCCCAUCAAGCACGGCUUGUGUGUUGGGUCCUCGUCCCCCCCGGGGGACGUGCCCGAAAGGCAGCGGCGGCACCGCGUCCGGUCCUCGAGCGUAUGGGGCUUUGUCACCCGCUCUGCAGGCCCGGCCGGCGCUGGCCGACGCGAAAGCAACCAUUUUUUCUCCAGGUUGACCUCGGAUCAGGUAGGGAUACCCGCUGAACUUAAGCAUAUCAAUAAGCGGAGGA
rnacentral:misc_RNA from 1 species